rnacentral:rRNA from 1 species
CCUACGGGUGGCAGCAGUGAGGAAUAUUGGUCAAUGGGCGCGAGCCUGAACCAGCCAAGUAGCGUGAAGGAUGACUGCCCUACGGGUUGUAAACUUCUUUUAUAAAGGAAUAAAGUGCGGCACGUGUGCCCUUUUGUAUGUACCUUAUGAAUAAGGAUCGGCUAACUCCGUGCCAGCAGCCGCGGUAAUCCGGAGGUUCCGAGCGUUAUCCGGAUUUAUUGGGUUUAAAGGGUGCGUAGAUGGGUUGUUAAGUCAGUUGUGAAAGUUUUCGGCUCAACCGUAAAAUUGCAAUUGAAACUGGCAGCCUAGAGUACAGUUGAGGUAGGCGGAAUUCGUGGUGUAGCGGUGAAAUGCUUAGAUAUCACGAAGAACUCCGAUUGCGAAGGCAGCAUACUAAACUGCCACUGACAUUGAUGCUCGAAAGUGUGGGUAUCAAACAGGAUUAGAUACCCGAGUAGUC